rnacentral:lncRNA from 1 species
AGCAGUGUUUUUCCAACCACCAUUCAUCGGCACUUCUUGUUUUAGCUGUUUUUCUCAACACUACUUCCAGAGCCUAAAAUAAUGCAUGACUCAGAACAAGUUCCCUGUAUUUGUAGAAUGAAUGAGUAAAGGUCAAUGGUGAAGUUCUGGCAUAGCUUAGUUAUGUAGCAGUCUGUCUCCCAAGAGUAUAAGCAUUUAAUUCAGGGGCUGUGUUUAAUGGCUGGCAAGUCAUAUCUGAGGAUAAGGAGGGCUUCACUUAUUGAGUUUGCUAGAUAUGAUGUUGAGUACCUGAGGAAAGUCAGCAUCAACAUCAACUGAAAACUUGCUGGAAAUAGAAAUUCUCAGGAACUGAACCAGAAACUCAAGGAUUCAAGUUUCCACUGUGUUGCCCAGGCUGGUCUCAAGUUUCUGAGCUCAAGCCGGCCUCCUGCCUCAGCCUCCCAGUAUGUUUGGAUUACAGACUGGAGCCACCGUGCCAGCCCUGGCUGUGUGUGAAAGGAAAUACUGGGCUACAGAGCUAGAAAGUACAAAACUAUGAUGGAGUUUUCAGGUUGUGUCAGCAUCUAGGUCUUUACACUU